rnacentral:rRNA from 1 species
UGGGGAAUAUUGCACAAUGGGCGAAAGCCUGAUGCAGCGACGCCGCGUGCGGGAUGACGGCCUUCGGGUUGUAAACCGCUUUCAGCAGGGACGAAGCGCAAGUGACGGUACCUGCAAAAGAAGCACCGGCUAACUACGUGCCAGCAGCCGCGGUAAUACGUAGGGUGCGAGCGUUGUUCGGAAUUACUGGGCGUAAAGAGCUCGUAGGCGGACUGUCACGUCGCCUGUGAAAGCCCGUGGCUCAACCACGGGUCUGCAGGCGAUACGGGCAGACUAGAGUACUGCAGGGGAGACUGGAAUUCCUGGUGUAGCGGUGGAAUGCGCAGAUAUCAGGAGGAACACCGGUGGCGAAGGCGGGUCUCUGGGCAGUAACUGACGCUGAGGAGCGAAAGCGUGGGGAGCGAACA